rnacentral:tRNA from 1 species
AGUUUAUGAACUUGAAUAAGUUUAUAUUUUGAAAAUAUAAGAAAGAAGUAUCAAUCUUCUAUAAACUU